AGUAUGACCCCACCUGAUGGUGAGUGCAGGCUUCAAACCUGUAGAGCGAU
rnacentral:tRNA from 1 species